rnacentral:rRNA from 1 species
UACGAAGGGGGCUAGCGUUGUUCGGAGUUACUGGGCGUAAAGGGCGCGUAGGCGGCGCACCAAGUCAGGCGUGAAAGCCCUGGGCUCAACCCGGGAAUUGCGCUUGAGACUGGUGUGCUUGAGUACGGGAGAGGAUAGUGGAAUUCCCAGUGUAGAGGUGAAAUUCGUAGAUAUUCGGAAGAACACCAGUGGCGAAGGCGGCUGACUGGACAUGUAUUGACGCUGAGGUGCGAAAGCGUGGGGAGCAAACAGG